rnacentral:rRNA from 1 species
GAUGAACGCUAGCUACAGGCUUAACACAUGCAAGUCGAACGAAGAUGCCGGAGUGCUUGCACUUUGGCAGACUGAGUGGCGGACGGGUGAGUAACGCGUGGGUAACCUGCCUUAUACAGGGGGAUAACAGUUGGAAACGACUGCUAAUACCGCAUAAGCGCACGGUAUCGCAUGAUACAGUGUGAAAAACUCCGGUGGUAUAAGAUGGACCCGCGUCUGAUUAGCUUGUUGGUGAGGUAACGGCCCACCAAGGCGACGAUCAGUAGCCGGCCUGAGAGGGUGAACGGCCACAUUGGGACUGAGACACGGCCCAAACUCCUACGGGAGGCAGCAGUGGGGAAUAUUGCACAAUGGGGGAAACCCUGAUGCAGCGACGCCGCGUGAGUGAUGAAGUAUUUCGGUAUGUAAAACUCUAUCAGCAGGGAAGAUAAUGACGGUACCUGACUAAGAAGCACCGGCUAAAUACGUGCCAGCAGCCGCGGU